UUACUUGGCUCAUUGUGCUCUAGUGACUCCUUGUGGCGGGCCGGGCACCUGCAGGCUGACAUUAGAAGUCAGUUAAACGGUGUUUCCUCUGACACAUUGGUGCAUCUGGCCUCCGGGUUAAGUGGGUGGGUGUUAAGGAGCGUGGUUUGGCUGCUAAUGUUUCAGAGGACGCAUGACUCAACCUUUGCCUUUUUUUGUGAGAAAAAGGGGGGAAAACCAGAAUGUUUAUUUAUUAAUAGAUGGAUAGAUUGACAUAAUUAUUUAUAAAAUAUUUAUCCUCUUGGGGUUUCUAGGUUUGAUUUAUUGACAAUUGACACACUGAGUGGUUGUUAUUUUCCUGUGGAAGUUGAGUCUGUUAGAUGAGAAGAGGCUCUUUAUGGAGGUUGAGUCUGUUAGAUGAGAAGAGGUUCUUUAUGGAGGUUGAGUCUGUUAGAUGAGAAGAGGCUCUUUAUGGAGGUUGAGUCUGUUAGAUGAGAAGAGGUUCUUUAUGGAGGUUGAGUCUGUUAGAUGAGAAGAGGUUCUUUAUGGAGGUUGAGUCUGUUAGAUGAGAAGAGGUUCUUUAUGGAGGUUGAGUCUGUUAGAUGAGAAGAGGCUCUUUAUGGAGGUUGAGUCUGUUAGAUGAGAAGAGGUUCUUUAUGGAGGUUGAGUCUGUUAGAUGAGAAGAGUCCAAAGCGCUAUAAGUGGGGCAGGUCAUACUUGGAAGACAAUCCUAACAUCAACUGAAGUAAAAUUAGGGUCUCCAUAUAGCUGAGGUUCAGCAUUGUAGCACGCUUGAAAUGUGAAGGUAAUUUCAGAUUGAGCCGUCAUAAGUCACUUCAACGGUUAAAAGUUGGGUAAAAAUAAGUUGAUUCAACGUCAUCACGGUGAUUAUUUUGGUUGAAAUGAGGUGGAAACAAUGUUGAUACAACCAGUUUUGGCCCAGUGGAUGAAUGUUGUUUUAUGUGUAAUCAAAUCCAGGUUCUGUUUUGAAUAGCCUCCAACGUAAUACUGACCUUCUGUCGUACUGAAAGCAUCAUGCAUAAAGAAUAGGUAACUGGUUAUGGGCACCGAGGUAUUAUUAGUAUGUCCCAGUAGUGUCAUAGAGUUUAUAAUGAUGCUUUUUAUUGUUGUGUUUUCAAUGUCUUGAAGAAAGGUUUCUAGUCCUCAAAACAUUAUGGCAACAAGAUCCCUGAUUCUGAGUUGUAGCAGUUAGGAUACCUCCUUGUUCAACUUAUGCCUUAAACUAGAGAACUGGGAGGACCCCUCCAGCUCCUUAAUAAUGGUCUGUUCCCUGACUGAGGUCCUCUUAUGUGCCAUGGGGCUUGGUACAGUCCAAACCUGAGAUGGGUGUGCUGCAGUCUACUAUCUUCUGGUUAAUGUUGGUUUUGCACCAGAUCAGUGAAAUGAGGAUGUAGUUAUGAACUAAACUGUGUAAAAAAACAUUAGGAACAACUUCCUAAUAUUGAGUUGCACACCCUUUUCCCCCUCAAAACAGCUUCAAUUCGUCGAGGCACGGACUCUAAAGUUGUGGAAAGCGUUCCACAGGGAUGCUGGCCCAUGUUGACUCCAAUGCUUCCCACAGUUGUGUCAUGUUCGCUGGAUGUCCUUUGGGUGGUGGACCAUUCUUGAUACACAUGGGAAACUGUUGGGUGUGAAAAACCCAGAAGCGUUGCAGUUCUUGACACAAACCGGUGCCCCUGGCAGCUACUACCAUAUCCCCUUGAAAGGCACUUAAAUCAUUAGUCUUGCCUAUUUACCCUCUGAAUGGCACACAUACACAAUCCAUGUCUCAAUUGUCUCAAGGCUUAAAAAUCAUUCUUUAACCUCUCCUCCCCUUCAUCUACACUGACUGAAGUGGAUUUAUGAGGGAUCAUAGCUUUCACCUGGAUUCACCUGGUCAGAGCAGGUGUUCCUAAUGGUUUGUACACUCAGUUAUAUGUGAAAGAAAGAAUCCUGAAUAUCUUCUACCAUUUCCCCCUGUUUGACGGCAUCAGUGCAGAAGCAUUAGUAGUGAUAUGAAUAGGUGCCAUAAUGCACAUAUGACUAUUGCACUGUGAGUCGGUCUCAUAGCUGUGUCUGCUUCUGUGUGUGAUCUAAAUAUACUGCUGUGUAGUUCCCUGGUUAUCAGAUCUAUAGUGCUGGUUAUCAGAUCUAUAGUGCCCAUAUCGUUAGAGGGGAUUCUAUUUCAAUGAUAAUAUCACUAUAGUUCAUUCUAGAACCCAGGGGGAUAUUACAAAAGUCUAUUAUACUGUAUAAGCCAAUUAUACUGUAGGCGACAUAUUCUGGUGUCCCUGUGGACAUGUGUUGUCUUGUCAGUGCUAACGGUCAGUGUCUGUCUGUGUGUGUAGUGCCAAUGCUCUCUGCUGCGGAGCUGUCCUUGUGCAGAUGCUUUCUGGGAGGUUGGCAUGGAGACUUAUUCAUCAAACGUGCCAUAUAUUCCAAAGUCAUCUGCAUUCUGCAGUUUGUCCCAUGUAAUGUACUGUUGAAGUGCUCUACUUCCAACUGGAACUGUUUUGGGUGAGCGAUCUAUUUAGGAUCGCAAAAUGUCUAACUUUUCCAAAAUAACCAGGUUUUCCAGAAAUCUUGGUUGGAGGAUUCCCGGAUUUCUUGUUUAUUACUUUCGGAUUCCUUGACUCUUCCAACUAGUAUAUCAGGAGUUUGAGGAAAGUCACCAGAAUUUGGAGACCUGAGUUCUAUUUCAUUGUCAAUUACAAUGUGUAGUACCGGUGAGCACACUGUACUGCUUUAAACAUAAUCAGAAAAUGAUAUUUUUAGAUGACUGCCAACUCAUAGCUAACGCGUGAUGAUGUUCGUCGCAAUGAAAUAUGUUUCUAGUUUAGUUAUAUUUCUUACAUGUUAUGGAGGAUAGCUGGAUCUGUGUUGUUCUGGCUCUGGGAAUAACCUUUCCAUAAACUAGUCCUAGUCCUAUCCACAUUCUAGGGGCGGCAGGUAGCCUAGUGGUUAGAGCGUUGGACAAGUAACUGAAAGGUUGCAAGGUCAAAUCCCCGAGCUGACAAGGUAAAAAAAAGGCUGUCGUUCUGCCCCUGAACAAGGCAGUUAACUCACUGUUCCUAGGCCAUCAUUGAAAAUAAGAAUGUGUUCUUAACUGACUUGCCUAGUUAAAUAAAGAUAACAUGCUGUAUGGUGGAGCUGUGAGAUAUUCAGAAGUGUGUGUGUCAAAUGCAGGGGCCCCCAGGGGUGGUUAGCAGUGGAGGCUGGUGGGAGGAGCUAUAGGAAGACAGGCUCAUUGUAAUGGCUGGAAUGGAACCAUGUUUCACUCUGUUCCAUUGAUGUCAUUACAAUGAGCCUGUCCUCCUAUAGCUCCUCCCACCAGACUCCUCAGGUGGAAGUGACAUUAUGGCCUAGAUAAUAUAAUAUAUUAUAUUUUGAUAUUUUAUUUCUCCAAAUAUAUAUUAACAUCAGCAUUUGUUCACAUGCAUUUGUUCAUAUUCAAUCAUGGUUCCAUCGACAUAUAUUUUUUCCUCUGUGUGACUCUGAAAUAUAUCGUAUUAUAUACUUAAGAUAUUUAUUUCAAAUGAUUGUCUUGUCCUGUGUUCUCAAUCUAUUCUAAAAUAUAGCUAUAUCAAAGUAUUUAUGAAAUAUUUAAAGAAUAAA
ensembl:lncRNA